UUCAGAAGCAAUGAUCAUUUCACCCAGUUCAUGCUCGACUCCUUCAGUCUUCCACAGCCACACUGAAGCACUGAUUCCACGAUGAUUAAGAGAAGUGUAUUUAUCUGAUUAACAAGUUUAUGUAUCUAUCUGAUUGUUUUAGAUCUGUUAAUUCUUCAUUUUGUGUACUUUUUCUGUUUAUAUGUUCUGUUGUCGGCCCUAGAUGUUUGGAUUGUUGUUAUUUUUUUGUGUGUAUUCAAUUGUUUCGUGUGAUAUGAAUGUGUUGUUUUUGUUCAUACGUCUGGUUGAUUUGUGCUUGUGCUUUAUUCGUGUUCUAAAUGUUAAUUUGAGAACCAAAUGAAUUAAGAAUUGAAAACCUUUAGGUUUGUAUAGUUGUAACUGGUGAUUGGGGUGCAAUUCAGUAUUGAUAUGUAUUUCAAACGAAUUACUGAUAUGCAUCUGAGCAAAGAGUCGGGAGUGGUUGAUAUAAAUUUGUGUUCAACCUUUUCAGGUGAUCAGUAACAAGAAGUUACCCAAAUGAGGAUUCAUUAGACAAAUCCAUGGAGAGUGAUAGAAGAAUAUGUGGCAGAUUGAUUUGUUCUGUAGCCAAAGAAUCUCCACAGCAAGUCGAAGAAACGACCAUGGACGUGCGAAAGAAAUUUUUCUGAAAGACUACAAGUCACCUGAUUAUUGUUUUGGCACUGUAAGAUACCUUAGCUCCUCAUCUGGAAUGUCUAAACUGCUUGAACAUACAAUUUGUGAGCUUCCAUAUUUGAUAUAUGAAAUUACGUACUUGAGUUGAUGCAUAUGCAUGCCAGUUCAUGCUCAGGUGGAUCUUAAAUUUACACUAGGUGAGGAACAAACAGUUGGCUGCUCCAACGUAAGUGUUUAUUCGAGAGUCGAAGGUAUCACUAACAACUAAUUCUUCUUCAGUAUUUGGAUAUUUUCAGAUUAUCUGGCUUGCCACAAUCAAGAGUUUGCUAUAACGAAUUUUCCUGAUAUUCUCAGGUUGUGUUUCUCGGUUGGUCUUAAAUGGUGAUGAUCACAAGCAGCUUUUAGUGAAGGUCAGAAUUGCAAGGAGCUGAAGGUUUGCCUUUAUUUAGUACAAUUUCUUGUAGUCUAGUGUUUAGCGAUGUCAGCCUUGUACUUCUGUUGCUUUUGAUAUAUUCUGAUUCUGUUUCUGCAAGGUUGAACUUGAACAUUUUACCCUAUACUAGAACAGUCUGAGACACAUGAGUAUUAAAGAGAUAUUGAGCUUCAUCCAUCUAAUUCCCAGAAAUUUUUAUUGUAUGAAUGUGUUUCCUAACACUAUAAUUACAUUCAGGAGAGCGACUUCUAGAUGGAUUCACGGCAUCUGUUCUUUGUCUUUUGACAAUAUUAGUUCUGAAUAUUUGAUGCAGGGUCUUUACCGGUCAUUAGGAAAUUUCUGCACACAAUGUGAAGCAGCGGAUUUUCGGACUAUCCUAAUUGUCGUAGUGUAUAAGAUGUAAAAACUCUUCAAUGUCAUGAGUCUGAUCAAGUGCCCCCUCAUUUCAACGAUCCAGUGAUACACUUUGGUAUCUCUGCUCCUUAUUUUAUCCGGCCUUCAACAUAGGCAUUUCAUUGGGUUACUGAUUCUGCAGAUAUUGAAGAUAGACUUUCCAAAGCUAUAAUGUCAUUUGACAUUGAAGAUGAAUAAUUCAAAUUUUUAACACGGAUGGAUCCUCUUAUAAUUCCUCUUGAAGAGCGAGUGAUUAUCGAAAUAUUAAAUGACUCACUUUCAUUGGUUGUUCCUCACAAAAGUUUUCUCAACUCAAGCUUUUAUAUAUGGGUGAUGGGUGACUACAGGAAAUAGGUAUCUUGGACUAGGCGGUCCAUCACCCAAAUAUAAAAGCUUGAGUUUAGAAAACUUGUGUGAGGAACAAACAGUGAAAGUGAGUCAUUUAAUGUAUCGAUAAUAACUGGCUCUUCAAGAGGAAUUUUAAAAGGAUCUAGCCAUGAAAAAAAUUUGAAUUGUUCAUCUUCAAUGUCAAAUGACACUACUGCUUUGGAAAGUCUAUCUUCAAUACCUGCAGAAUCAGUAACCCAAUGAAAUGCCUAUUUUAAAGGUCAGAUGAAAUAAGGAGCAGAGAUACCAAAAAGUAUCACUGGAUCAUUGAAAUGAGGGGCACUUGAUCACGCUCAUGACAUGGAAGAGUUGUUACAUCAUGUGCACUACGACAAUUAGGAUAUUGGACAAAUGAUCUUCCUAUAAUGACACUAAAAUCCAAAAACGGAAGAACACUCCAGUUUUUUGUAUUUCACUACAUUCUGCAUUUAUGUUGAAACUUUGGAAACAGUUAUUCUGCAUUCUGUAUUUCACUACUCCAGUUUUUUGUAUUUCACCUGGGAUAUUGAAUAUGCAGGAAGGGCUGUUCAGUGAUGUAAUUCCCUACCCUUGCAUAGUAUAUCUAUUAACACUGCGUGACCUAAUAUCUGAAGCAUUGUAGAAGAAUAAUAAAUUAUAACUUCCGGUUAAAAGUAUGAAAGGAAAUAUCUCGGUAAUAGUUUUGAAAUGUUACCCGCAGAUUAACACUAACUUAUGUUGCUUUUUUGAGCUUUGUCUACUUUACUUUGUAGCGCACACACUGUUCAGUUAAAGCAAUGUGGCCUUCGGGAGCUUAAUUUGCUCUAGUUUACUUUUUAGCACACACUAUUCAGUAAAACCUAAUGUGGCUUUUGGGAGGUUUGCUCUCUUUUGUAUAGUAGGGCACACAUCCAUGUUGAGUAAAAACUAAUGUAACAUGUGAUGGGAGCACAACAAUUUUUUGAAGUUGAUUAUUAUUAGGUACAUUUUCUAUCACUAACCACCACAACAAUAAU